rnacentral:rRNA from 1 species
GACGAACGCUGGCGGCGUGCUUAACACAUGCAAGUCGAACGGAAAGGCCCUGCUUUUGUGGGGUGCUCGAGUGGCGAACGGGUGAGUAACACGUGAGUAACCUGCCCUUGACUUUGGGAUAACUUCAGGAAACUGGGGCUAAUACCGGAUAGGAGCUCCUGCUGCAUGGUGGGGGUUGGAAAGUUUCGGCGGCUGGGGAUGGACUCGCGGCUUAUCAGCUUGUUGGUGGGGUAGUGGCUUACCAAGGCUUUGACGGGUAGCCGGCCUGAGAGGGUGACCGGCCACAUUGGGACUGAGAUACGGCCCAGACUCCUACGGGAGGCAGCAGUGGGGAAUAUUGCACAAUGGGCGGAAGCCUGAUGCAGCAACGCCGCGUGCGGGGUGACGGCCUUCGGGUUGUAAACCGCUUUUGCCUGUGACGAAGCGUGAGUGACGGUAAUGGGUAAAGAAGCACCGGCUAACUACGUG